UACGUAGGGUGCGAGCGUUAAUCGGAAUUACUGGGCGUAAAGCGUGCGCAGGCGGCUUUGCAAGACAGAUGUGAAAUCCCCGGGCUCAACCUGGGAACUGCAUUUGUGACUGCAGGGCUGGAGUGCGGCAGAGGGGGAUGGAAUUCCGCGUGUAGCAGUGAAAUGCGUAGAUAUGUGGAGGAACACCGAUGGCGAAGGCAGCCCCCUGGGUCGACACUGACGCUCAUGCACAAAAGCGUGGGGAGCAAACAGG
rnacentral:rRNA from 1 species